UUUAUCUCCAGGAAACGAUGUCUCUCUGCUACCUUCCCUCACCGUCCGGUCACUCUUCGAACCACCCCGGCACACUUCCCACAGAUGCGAAAUAAGCCGAUGCUCCGGAGCAAAGAUGACCCGGAGGACCGGGGAUCGACCUUUUGACCCGCACGACUGGAGAGCCUCCCAGUGCCCAAGACCCAGGAACCUUACUACCCCCUACCACAGCCAGGCACUGAGUCGGAUCACAAUCGCAACUCUUCAAGUCCGCAUGGAAACCACCGGAAACGGAAAUUCACAGUCGCGCUGACUCGCCGGAGGGAAACAAGAAGGCAGUAAAAAGCAACCGGCCGGGGUACGAUUUUCAGUGGAGAGCCGGAAGAACGAGUCGUGAACAGCUGAGUGUACGCACAGGCACCGUCCACACAGUGCAGUCCGAAAGGCAGCUGUGUUAAUGUUGAAACAAGACUACAAAGGAGAAACGAUGUUGAAGUCAGCACUGGCUUUAGCUAUCAAAGUGCUAAAUAAGAUCAUGGAUGUUAGUUAACUGUCUGCUGAGAAAGUGGAAAUUGCAACACUAACAAGAAAGAAUGGAAAGAUGGUAAUCAGAGUUCUCAAACUUAAAGAAGUUAAACAGUUAAUCAAAAAACUGAGGAGGAAGAAGCUAAGCCUGAGAAGAAAGAAAAAGAACCAAAAAAAAAAGGAUAAAUAGACAAAAUUAGAGAUUUGGUUACUCAUUUGGGGCACCUUUUCUGUGUAAAAGCUGUUCUACUCUUCCAAACUAAGAAGGCUUUGACUUUUUUUUAACUGGUGCAGUGGGAAAAUAGGACAUUACAUACUGAAUUGGGUCUUUAUUGUUUCUGUUCAAUUAAAUACUUUAUUGUAAUGAUGAGAGUUACUUUCUGUGGACAUCUUAAUCUUCCACACACAUCCCCCUUUUUUGAAAUAAAAUUUGUAAAAUGGAAAUGAA